rnacentral:rRNA from 1 species
GCCUACGUUACUGGGCUAGCUUUCUGAUCCAGUUAGUUAAGCAGCAUCAGGUCUAUUCAGGAUUUGGAUGGGUGACCAUCUGAAGAAACAAGGGUACUGUAGGAU